rnacentral:rRNA from 1 species
GAUGAACGCUGGCGGCGUGCUUAACACAUGCAAGUCGAACGAUGAAGCCCAGCUUGCUGGGUGGAUUAGUGGCGAACGGGUGAGUAACACGUGAGUAACCUGUCCUUGACUCUGGGAUAAGCCUGGGAAACUGGGUCUAAUACUGGAUAUGACUUCUCAUCGCAUGGUGGGGGGUGGAAAGAUUUAUUGGUCUUGGAUGGACUCGCGGCCUAUCAGCUUGUUGGUGAGGUAAUGGCUCACCAAGGCGACGACGGGUAGCCGGCCUGAGAGGGUGACCGGCCACACUGGGACUGAGACACGGCCCAGACUCCUACGGGAGGCAGCAGUGGGGAAUAUUGCACAAUGGGCGCAAGCCUGAUGCAGCGACGCCGCGUGAGGGAUGACGGCCUUCGGGUUGUAAACCUCUUUCAGUAGGGAAGAAGCGAGAGUGACGGUACCUGCAGAAGAAGCGCCGGCUAACUACGUG